CAAAGGGAACUAAAAUUCAACGUAUGGAGAAUAUCGUUACAAUAUUUUUCUACAUCUCUCUCAACAAUGGUAGACAAAGGACUAACAUGUCUAGUGAUGUAACUAUCUAUAGUGCAACUCUAACUUCCAUCGGAUGACAGUUCGUGCAGCCAGUGAUCCAUGGUACUACAGCAUUAUACCAAAAUUAGAUGAUUUCACGAGAAGAGCAGAGUAACCUUUGUUUUACAUGACUAUAUUAUGCACACACGACAACAUAUGUCAUUGUAUACAUGAUAAGUAAGACAUUGUCUUUGCUUUCUUGUUCUUGG
rnacentral:lncRNA from 1 species